GACGAACGCUGGCGGCGUGCUUAACACAUGCAAGUCGAACGGAAAGACCCUGCUUUUGUGGGUUGCUCGAGUGGCGAACGGGUGAGUAACACGUGAGUAACCUGCCCUUGUCUUUGGGAUAACUUCAGGAAACUGGGGCUAAUACCGGAUAGGAGCUCCUGCUGCAUGGUGGGGGUUGGAAAGUUUCGGCGGUUGGGGGUGGACUCGCGGCUUAUCAGCUUGUUGGUGGGGUAGUGGCUUACCAAGGCUUUGACGGGUAGCCGGCCUGAGAGGGUGACCGGCCACAUGGGGACUGAGAUACGGCCCAGACUCCUACGGGAGGCAGCAGUGGGGAAUAUGGCACAAUGGGCGGAAGCCUGAGGCAGCAACGCCGCGUGCGGGAUGACGGCCUUCGGGUUGUAAACCGCUUUCGCCUGUGACGAAGCGUGAGUGACGGUAAUGGGUAAAGAAGCACCGGCUAACUACGUG
rnacentral:rRNA from 1 species